rnacentral:rRNA from 1 species
GAAGCUGGAUUCGCUAGUAAUCGCGCAUCAGCCACGGCGCGGUGAAUACGUUCCCGGGCCUUGUACACACCGCCCGUCAAGCCAUGGAAGCCGGGAGUGCCUGAAGUACGCGACCGCAAGGAGCGUCCUAAGGUAAAACCGGUGACUGGGGCUAAGUCGUAACAAGGUAUC